CAGAAUCACGGCUGCAGCCUCCUCUCCUGGCAGAUGCUCACCCGGGUUUGUGUCCUCAGAGGUCAAUGUCCUAUUACAUUUUGCCUUACGGAUCUGAAGUGUGCAGAAGGUUUGCUGGUGACUGCACACUAUGCAAGGAAGCACCUUUUCCUGCCCCAAACCAAGCACAGAAUCAAGAUGCAGAGCAGGAGGGAGCUGCUGCCCUGGGCUGUACAUGGGAAACUGCUGAUGGUGCCUCUGGAUGGGCUGAAUGAAAAACACCGAGAAGAACUUUCUCAACCUGGAGGGUGAGCAGUGCCCAUUUCUUAAAACAAAAACCUGUUUGACUGUCUUUUUAAAUACUAAACUACCAUUCAUAGUAUGCUUUGUCUAAUAAAACAUUCAAGAACAGGAAGCCUAAACAAAUUAAAACUUCCACUUCUUUUGUCUUUCAUCAGCUUAUUGGAUAAGUAAAGCAAUGGGCCGUUUUGGCAGACAAAAUUUAUGAAUAAAGAAAUGGCAAAAUUACUCUGACAGGUAUUUAAGGAUAAAAGUUGAAGACUCAAAAUGAGCUAUACCAACCUCUCAGACUGACUUAAUAACUUUUUGAUUAAAUUAAAUUUGACAAGAGCUUGUGCUUAACCUUCUCCAAAGGAAUGUCAGGAUGAAAACCCUGUGAAUUCAUGUACAAAAUCUAAUUAUAUAAUAACUAAAAAACUGGACAAAUUGUA